UCGGGAAUUUUGGGCAAUGGGCGCAAGCCUGAUCCAGCCAUGCCGCGUGCAGGAUGACGGUCCUAUGGAUUGUAAACUGCUUUUUGUACAGGAAGAAACAGUUCUACGUGUAGAACCUUGACGGUACUGUAAGAAUAAGGAUCGGCUAACUCCGUGCCAGCAGCCGCGGUAAUACGGAGGAUCCAAGCGUUAUCCGGAAUCAUUGGGUUUAAAGGGUCCGUAGGCGGUUAGAUAAGUCAGUGGUGAAAGCCCAUCGCUCAACGGUGGAACGGCCAUUGAUACUGUCUGACUUGAAUUAUUAGGAAGUAACUAGAAUAUGUAGUGUAGCGGUGAAAUGCUUAGAGAUUACAUGGAAUACCAAUUGCGAAGGCAGGUUACUACUAAUGGAUUGACGCUGAUGGACGAAAGCGUGGGUAGCGAACAGGAUUAGAUACCCUCGUAGUCCCUGAGCGGGCUGGCAAGGCGCAU
rnacentral:rRNA from 1 species